rnacentral:tRNA from 1 species
GGUGGUUUAGUGAUUAAGCGUUUGGCUGGUAACCAAAAGGUUGGCAGUUCAAAUCCACCAGCCCCUA